AAAAGAGUUAGGACUUAAUCUUGAAAGUCAUGGGUAGCCACAGAAGGAUUCUAGAAGGAAAAUUAUUUGAUCAGGUUUUCAUUUUCUCUUUUUCUUUCGUUCUCUCUCUCUCUCUCUCUCUCUCUCUCUCUCUCUUUCUUUAGCUCACUGUAACCCAGAAUUCCUGGGCUCAAUUGAUCUUCCCACCUCAGCCUCCCGAGUAGCUGGGACCACAGGCACCUUGCUAACAGAUUUUUAUUUUAGAAAGAUUACUUUGGCCAGGCACGGUGGCUCAUGCCUGUAAUCCCAGGACUUUGGGAGGCCGAGGUGGGUGGAUCACCUAAGGUCAGGAGUUUGAGACCAGCCUGACCGACAUGGAGAAACCCUGUCUCUACUAAAAAUACAAAAAAAUUAGCCAGGGGUGGUGGCAUGUGCCUGUAACCCCAGCUACUCGGGAGGCUGAGGCAGGAGAAUCGCUUGAACCCAGGAGGCGGAGAUGCAGUGAGCCGAGAUUGUGGCACUGCACUCCAGCUUGGGUGACAGAGUGAGACUUUGUCUCAAAAAAAAAAAAAAAAAAGAAAAAGAAAAAGAAAAAGAAAGAUUACUUUGGCAGUGAUAUGAAGGGUAAUUUGGAAAGUGGUAUAUUAGUUAUCUAUUGCUACAUAGUGUAUUAUCUCAAAACUUAGCAGCUUAAAACAAUGAAUAUUUACUAUUUCACAUGGUUUCUGAAAGUUAGGAAUCUGGCAGCAGCUUGGUUGUCAUUCAGGGCUUCCUACGAGGUUGCAGACAAGCUGUCUAAAGGCUUGACUCGGCCAGCAGAUGUGCUUCUAAAAUGGCCCACUUCGAUCCGGCUAUGAUAUCUGUCACACCAUUGAUUGCCAGGGUUGAUUCAGCUGAUCUGGAUGGUGCGGCAGGUGUCCCCUUCCUCUCUCACUGCUCCACAUAUGUCCUUCCCGAAGCUGUGCGCUAGGUUGAAGAGGACGACCUUCCCCGAUAGAGGGCUGUUCUUUGGUCAAGGGUAUGUGAGUGGCUGUGCUCCCCUGCUAGAACCUCCAAACAUGGCCCACUCAUCUGCCAUUCACAGAAGGCCUCAGUUCCUCACCCCAUGGGCCUCUCCAUGGUGCUGCUUGCAACAUGGCAACGAACAUUGGAGCCAGUGAUCCAAGAGGGAACAUGGGGGAAGUCCCAGUGCUAUAUGACCCAAUCACAUACAAUCACUUCUGCCAUAUUCAAUCUGUUAGAAGUGAGUCAGUAAGUCUAGCCUCCACUCAAGGAAAGAGGAAUGAACCUCCAUCUUUGGGAGGGAAACCUGUUGAAGUUCUGCAGAUAUAUUUUAAAACUGCAGGCCAGGUGUGGGGCUCACGCCUGUAAUCCCAGCACUUUGGGAGGCCGAGGUGGGUGGAUCUCCUGAGGUGAGGAGUUUGAGACCAGUCUGACUAACAUGGUGAAACCCUGUCUCUACUAAAAACACAAAAAUUAGCUGGGCAUGGUGGCACAUGCCUGUAAUCCCAGCUACUUGGGAGGCUGAGGCAGGAGAAUCACUUGAACGCGGGAAGUGGAGUUUGCAGUGAGCCGAGAUCACGCCAUUGCACUCCAGCCUGGGCAACAAGAGCAAAACUGUCUCAAACAAACAAACAAACAAAAAAACCCUGCAAGGUGGUUAACUAGCCCAUAGGCAGAGAGACCAGUUAGAUUACAGGAGUGUACCAGGAGAGAAAUGUAAUGGUCUGAACCAAGACAGGAGCACUGGAAUGGAGAGGAGGGGCAUCUUGAAAAGUUGUUACUAGAGAGAUGGCUUAUGGGGUGCAGGGAACUGUGAUAGGCCAGGGCCAAUUGGCAGGAGCAGCCUUUGGAGCACACGCCCUUGGAGGCAAUACCCCAGACAUCCAAGGUCAGUCUGAACUGCCUCCACCUGCAGACAGAAGGGUGGUGGGCAAUGCUUGACCAACAGGCCCCCGAAAAUCUUGGAUUAUGGUAGGUUUCUGCAGCAGCUUGGGGGUGGAGCCAGCACUAAUCAGACUGGAACUUCCUGGACCCCAGUGGUGAGAGCCUCCAGAAUAAGAUUAGGAUGAAAACAGCUCCCCCCUAAACCACACAGAACACAGGAACUGCUGGUAGACAAUCAUAACGGCAAAGCAACACAUUCUGAGUCAAUAUGUCAAUGACAAUAGCUUCACCAAACAUUCUGGAUGUGGCAAGUAUCUGUGUUCACUCACUCAACAAAGAUUUGCUGAAUGUCACCAUGUCCCAGGCAUUCUGCCAAGCCCUGAAGAGAAAACCUAAGAUUUUUUUUCUAAUUUUAUUUAUUUAUUUUUUAGUUAUUUUUAUUUUUAUUUUAAUGGAGACAGGGAUCUUGCUAAUGUUGACCACUCUGGUCUCAAACUCUUGGCCUCAAGCAAUCCUCCUACCUCAGACUCCUAAGGUGCUAGGAUUAUAGGCAUCACAGUGCCAGGCAAAACUAGGAUUUUUUUUUUUUUUUUUUGAGACAGAGUCUUGCUCUGUGCCCAGGCUGGAGUGCAGUGGCGUGAUCUCAGCUCGCUGUAACCUCUGCCUCCUGGGUUCAAGCAAUUCUCCUGCCUCAGCCUCCCCAGUAGCUGGGAUUACAGGAAUGC
rnacentral:lncRNA from 10 species